GCUGGGGUCAGAGGCGGCUUCUCUCGGGUACGGGAAGGCGGACUGCUGUGCAGCCGCGGGCUCGCUCGGGAAACCCACACUCACACAAAAGCGGCAGCACCACUGCGCCUAGGCUAUCGUCUCCCAACAUGGGGAGACAAAAUGGCCGCCGCGCCCAGAGCCGAAAUUACAUCCGGGCUCCGCGACACGUCCGAACCACAACUCCCAGAAUGCUCUGCCUCGACGGCGGGAGACGAGACGCGCUCGGGCGCCGCUUAGGUGGCGCUAGGCCCUGUGGCUCCUCCCUGCAGCGGAAGGCCUCCGAAAACGCGGCGUCUUAGGUCGCUUCCUCCAUUCUUCGUUGCACCGGCCAACGGGACGCUUAGUCUUUUGGCAACGGGGUGAAACCUGCCUUGUGCCUGAAGAAACGAUACUUCCCGGUGUGGCUUCGGCGCCUGCGCAAAAGCCUGCGGGACGCACUCCAGUUCCCGGCAGGCCCCGCGACGCGCGUUUGCGUGCUGACGCACGGAGUUAGUCGUGCUGACGUGCAGCGCGGCCCAGGCGGGGUGCGAGUGGCGCAGUCGGAGCCCGCUGCGGCCCCUGAGGAAGCCAGGAGGCGUCGGCGUCGGCUGAGGCGGGCGGACCGGCGAGGCGAGGCGGCGGUCUCAGACCCCGAGGGACUCGGGAGCUCGAGCAGCGGCGGCGGCAAGACCUCUCCCCCUCGGAGGCGGCGGGCGGAGGCGGCGGGAGCGGUGGUGCCCCCCCGGGCACGGGGCCAUGUACAACGGGAUCGGGCUGCCGACGCCCCGGGGCAGCGGCACCAACGGCUACGUCCAGCGCAACCUGUCCCUGGUGCGGGGCCGCCGGGGUGAGCGGCCUGACUACAAGGGAGAGGAGGAACUGCGGCGCCUGGAGGCUGCCCUGGUGAAGCGGCCUAAUCCUGACAUCCUGGACCACGAGCGCAAGCGGCGCGUCGAGCUGCGAUGCCUCGAGCUGGAGGAGAUGAUGGAAGAGCAGGGGUACGAGGAACAGCAAAUUCAGGAGAAAGUGGCGACCUUUCGACUCAUGUUGCUGGAGAAGGAUGUGAACCCUGGGGGCAAGGAGGAGACCCCAGGGCAGAGGCCAGCGGUCACGGAGACUCACCAGUUGGCAGAAUUGAAUGAGAAGAAGAAUGAAAGACUCCGUGCUGCCUUUGGCAUCAGUGAUUCUUACGUAGAUGGCAGCUCUUUUGAUCCUCAGCGUCGUGCCCGAGAAGCUAAACAGCCAGCUCCUGAGCCUCCCAAACCUUACAGCCUUGUUCGGGAGUCUAGCAGUUCUCGCUCACCAACCCCAAAGCAGAAGAAGAAAAAAAAGAAGAAAGAUAGAGGACGCAGGUCAGAGAGCAGCUCUCCUCGACGGGAGAGAAAGAAAAGCUCAAAGAAGAAGAAGCACAGGUCAGAAUCUGAGUCCAAGAAACGUAAGCAUAGGUCUCCCACUCCAAAGAGCAAACGUAAAUCUAAGGACAAAAAGCGAAAGCGGUCUCGGAGUACAACACCAGCCCCCAAGAGCCGCCGGGCCCACCGUUCAACUUCUGCUGACUCUGCUUCCUCCUCUGAUACUUCCCGCAGUCGGUCUCGAAGUGCUGCAGCUAAAACUCAUACAACUGCAUUGACUGGGCGAAGUCCUUCCCCUACUUCAGGGCGGCGAGGGGAGGGAGAUGCACCUUUCAGUGAACCAGGUACUACCAACGCACAACGGCCUAGUAGCCCGGAGCCUGCUACAAAACAGCCUAGCAGCCCUUACGAAGACAAAGAUAAAGACAAGAAGGAGAAAUCUGCAACUCGACCUAGCCCCUCUCCGGAAAGGAGCAGCACAGGCCCAGAACCACCUGCUCCCACUCCGCUCCUUGCUGAGCGACAUGGCGGCUCCCCACAACUCCUUGCAACAACCCCCUUAAGCCAGGAGCCAGUGAACCCCCCAUCUGAGGCCUCUCCCACUCGGGGCCGUUCACCACCUAAGUCUCCUGAGAAACUUCCCCAGUCUUCUUCCUCAGAGAGCAGCCCACCAUCCCCUCAACCUACCAAAGUUUCUCGGCAUGCCAGCUCUUCCCCAGAAAGUCCUAAACCUGCUCCAGCUCUGGGGUCCCACCGAGAAAUUUCUUCUUCUCCCACAUCCAAGAAUCGCUCACAUGGCCGAGCAAAACGGGAUAAAUCACAUUCUCAUACCCCUUCCCGUAGGAUAGGGAGGUCCCGUAGCCCUGCCACCACUAAGAGAGGGCGAUCUCGGUCUCGAACCCCUACAAAGAGAGGUCAUUCUCGAUCCCGAUCUCCCCAGUGGCGUAGGUCCAGGUCUGCACAGAGGUGGGGAAGAUCUAGAAGCCCCCAGCGACGUGGCCGCUCUAGGUCUCCUCAGCGACCAGGCUGGUCUAGGAGCAGAAAUACCCAGAGAAGAGGCAGGUCUAGGUCAGCAAGGCGAGGGAGGUCCCACUCUAGAUCCCCAGCCACUCGGGGCAGAUCUCGUUCUAGAACACCAGCCCGGCGGGGCAGGUCACGCUCUAGAACACCUGCCAGGCGGAGAUCACGAUCCAGAACACCCACCAGGCGUAGGUCUCGGUCUAGAACACCAGCCCGGAGGGGCAGGUCUCGGUCUAGAACACCUGCUAGGCGCAGAUCUAGGACCCGAUCGCCAGUACGACGGAGGUCUCGUAGUAGAUCACCAGCCAGGAGAAGUGGCAGGUCACGCUCUAGAACCCCAGCUAGACGUGGCCGCUCACGCUCCAGAACCCCAGCCAGACGUGGCCGCUCACGCUCUAGAACCCCAGCUAGACGCAGUGGUCGCUCACGCUCCAGAACACCAGCCAGGAGAGGGAGGUCUCGAUCUAGGACACCAAGACGAGGAAGAUCCCGCAGUAGAAGCUUAGUUAGACGUGGAAGAUCUCACUCUAGAUCACCUCAAAGAAGAGGUAGGUCUGGCUCAUCUUCAGACCGGAAGAACAAAUCCAGAACAUCUCAGAGAAGAAGCAGGUCCAAUUCAAGCCCAGAAAUGAAGAAAUCACGCAUUUCUUCAAGGCGGAGCAGAUCUCUGUCUUCACCACGGUCCAAAGCAAAAUCUCGCUUGUCUUUGAGGCGCAGCCUUUCAGGGUCUUCCCCAUGUCCUAAACAGAAGUCACAGACGCCACCCAGGCGCAGUCGCUCUGGAUCCUCCCAACGUAAAGCUAAAUCUAGAACGCCACCUAGACGCAGUCGCUCCAGUUCUUCUCCGCCACCUAAACAGAAAUCUAAAACACCAUCAAGACAAAGUCAUUCCAGUUCAUCUCCUCAUUCUAAAGUGAAAUCUGGAACACCACCGAGGCAAGGGUCCAUAACAAGUCCCCAGGCCAAUGAGCAAUCUGUAACGCCACAAAGACGGAGCUGUUUUGAAUCAUCACCUGACCCUGAGUUGAAAUCUAGGACCCCUUCUAGACAUAGUUGCUCAGGGUCCUCUCCUCCUAGAGUGAAAUCUAGCACACCUCCCAGACAGAGCCCAUCUAGGUCAUCAUCUCCACAACCCAAAGUGAAGGCGGUAAUAUCACCAAGGCAAAGAAGCCAUUCUGGCUCUUCUUCUCCAAGUCCUAGUAGGGUGACAUCGAGAACAACUCCACGGCGAAGCAGAUCAGUAUCUCCCUGCUCCAACGUGGAAUCCAGAUUGUUGCCAAGAUACAGUCAUUCUAGGUCCUCCUCACCGGAUACCAAAGUGAAAGCUGAAACACCGCCAAGACAGAGUCACUCAGGGUCUAUUUCACCACACCCCAAAGUGAAGGCCCAAACUCCACCAGGGCCAAGUCUUUCUGGAUCAAAGUCGCCAUGUCCCCAAGAGAAGUCUAAAGACUCACUAGUUCAAAGUUGCCCUGGAUCCUUCUCUCUGUGUGCAGGAGCAAAAUCUAGCACACCACCAGGCGAGAGCUAUUUUGGACUCUCAUCUCUGCAGCUGAAAGGACAAUCUCAAACUUCACCAGACCACGGAUCUGAUACUUCAAGUCCAGAAGUGAGACAGAGUCACUCAGAAUCACCAUCUCUGCAGAGCAAAUCUCAAACAUCGCCUAAGGGAGGGCAGUCCAGGUCUUCAUCUCCAGUCACUGAGCUGGCAUCCAGAUCUCCAAUAAGACAAGAUAGAGGUGAGUUGUCAGCUAGUCCUACAUUGAAAUCCGGAAUGUCUCCUGAGCUGAGCAGGUUCCAGUCUGAUUCUUCUUCAUAUCCUACAGUGGACUCGAAUUCUCUCUUGGGGCAGAGUAGAUUGGAGACUUCUGAAUCAAAAGAGAAAAUGGCCUUACUCCCUCAGGAGGAUGCUACUGCCUCACCUCCUAGACAAAGAGACAAAUUUAGUCCCUUUCCAGUACAGGAUAGACCUGAGUCUUCACUAGUGUUCAAAGACACACCUAGAACCCUGUCAAGGGAAAGAAGUGGUGCUGGAUCAUCUCCAGAAACAAAAGAGCAAAAUAGUGCAUUGCCUACAUCAAGCCAAGAUGAAGAGUUAAUGGAGGUGGUAGAGAAGUCUGAAGAACCCACAAGCCAAGUCCUGUCUCAUUUGUCUUCAGAACUUAAAGAAAUGUCUGCAAGUAACUUUGAAUCAUCUCCUGAAGUAGAAGAAAGGCCUGCUGUGUCUUUGACUCUUGAUCAGAGCCAGUCACAGGCUUCUUUGGAAGCAGUAGAAAUUCCUGCAAUGGCCUCAUCUUGGGGUGGGCCACAGUUUUCUCCAGAACAUAAAGAACUGUCUAACUCCCCACUCAGGGAGAACAGCUUUGAUUCAUCUUUAGAAUUUAGAAACUCAGGCCCACUUGGUACAGAAAUGAAUACUGGAUUUUCUUCCGAGGUUAAAGAAGAUUUGAAUGGACCUUUUCUUAAUCAGCUGGAAACAGAUCCAUCUCUAGACAUGAAAGAACAAUCGACAAGAUCCUCUAGACGCAGCAGUUCUGAGUUAUCCCCAGAUGCAGUGGAAAAGGCAGGGAUGUCUUCAAAUCAGAGCGUCUCUUCACCUGUGCUUGAUGCUGUACCGAGAACACCCUCGAGAGAAAGAAGUAGUUCUGCAUCUUCUCCUGAAAUGAAAGAUGGUUUACCCAGAACUCCAUCAAGGAGAAGCAGGUCUGGGUCUUCUCCAGGACUUAGAGAUGGGUCUGGGACACCCUCGAGGCACAGCCUGUCUGGGUCCUCUCCUGGAAUGAAAGAUAUACCUAGAACACCAUCCAGAGGGAGAAGCGAAUGUGAUUCUUCGCCAGAACCGAAAGCUUUGCCUCAGACUCCUAGGCCGAGGAGUCGUUCUCCAUCAUCCCCAGAGCUCAACAACAAGUGUCUUACCCCCCAGAGAGAAAGAAGUGGGUCAGAAUCAUCAGUUGAUCAGAAACCUGUGGCUCGGACUCCCUUGGGGCAGAGAAGUCGUUCGGCAUCCUCUCAAGAACUUGAUGUGAAACCCAGUGCAUCCCCUCAGGAAAGAAGUGAGUCAGACUCUUCUCCAGAUUCUAAAGCCAAGACUCGAACCCCACUUCGGCAGAGGAGUCGCUCUGGAUCAUCUCCAGAGGUUGACAGCAAAUCUCGACCUUCUCCUCGGCGCAGUAGGUCUGGUUCCUCCCCUGAAGUGAAAGAUAAGCCAAGAGCAGCACCGAGGGCACAGAGUGGUUCUGAUUCCUCUCCUGAACCUAAAGCUCCAGCCCCUCGGGCCCUUCCCAGACGAAGCAGAUCAGGUUCGUCAAGCAAAGGUAGGGGCCCUUCUCCUGAAGGAAGCAGCAGUACCGAGUCCUCUCCUGAACAUCCGCCCAAAUCCAGAACUGCUCGCAGAGGUUCCAGGUCAUCACCAGAGCCCAAGACCAAGUCUCGUACACCACCUCGACGUCGCAGCUCUCGAUCAUCUCCUGAGCUAACGAGGAAGGCCAGACUCUCCCGUAGAAGCCGUUCUGCCUCAUCCUCACCAGAAACUCGCUCUCGAACUCCCCCAAGGCGCCGGAGAAGUCCUUCAGUGUCUUCCCCGGAGCCAGUCGAAAAGUCGAGGUCUUCACGCCGACGGCGCUCAGCUUCAUCUCCACGCACUAAGACAACCUCAAGGAGAGGCCGCUCUCCUUCACCAAAGCCUCGUGGACUACAGAGGUCCCGUUCCCGCUCAAGGAGAGAGAAAACCAGAACAACCCGACGUCGAGAUAGGUCUGGAUCUUCUCAGUCAACCUCUCGGCGAAGACAGCGGAGCCGGUCAAGGUCACGGGUUACUCGGCGACGGAGGGGAGGCUCUGGUUAUCACUCAAGGUCCCCUGCCCGGCAGGAAAGUUCCCGGACCUCCUCUCGACGCCGAAGAGGCCGCUCUCGGACACCCCCAACCAGUCGGAAGCGUUCUCGCUCACGGACAUCACCAGCCCCGUGGAAACGCUCUAGAUCUCGAGCCUCUCCAGCCACUCACCGGCGAUCCAGGUCCAGAACCCCCCUGAUAAGCCGACGUAGGUCUAGGUCUCGAACUUCACCAGUCAGCCGGAGACGGUCAAGGUCCAGGACUUCAGUGACUCGACGAAGAUCCCGGUCAAGAGCAUCCCCAGUGAGCAGAAGGCGAUCCAGAUCCAGAACACCCCCAGUAACCCGUCGUCGUUCAAGGUCCAGAACACCAACAACACGCCGGCGCUCCCGUUCUAGAACUCCACCAGUGACACGCAGAAGGUCCAGAUCUAGGACUCCACCAGUAACCAGGAGGCGAUCUCGAAGCAGAACUUCACCUAUCACUCGCAGAAGAUCAAGAUCCAGAACAUCGCCGGUCACCCGAAGGAGGUCUCGAUCUCGCACAUCUCCAGUAACUCGAAGAAGGUCCCGCUCUCGAACCUCACCAGUGACACGCCGCCGCUCUAGGUCCCGGACACCUGCAGCUAUUCGGCGCCGCUCUAGGUCUCGAACGCCGCUGUUGCCACGCAAACGUUCUCGAAGUCGCUCACCACUUGCUAUCCGCCGCCGCUCCAGAUCCCGUACUCCACGAACAGCUCGGGGCAAACGGUCAUUGACAAGAUCUCCUCCAGCCAUCCGCAGGCGUUCUGCAUCUGGAAGUAGUUCUGAUCGUUCACGGUCUGCUACUCCUCCAGCAACAAGAAAUCAUUCUGGUUCGCGGACACCUCCAGUAGCACUCAACAGCUCCAGAAUGAGCUGCUUUAGUCGUCCUAGCAUGUCCCCAACACCUCUUGACCGCUGCAGAUCACCUGGAAUGCUUGAACCCCUUGGCAGCUCUAGAACACCCAUGUCUGUCCUGCAGCAAGCCGGUGGCUCCAUGAUGGAUGGUCCAGGUCCCCGAAUACCUGACCACCAGAGAACAUCUGUGCCAGAAAAUCAUGCUCAGUCCAGGAUUGCACUUGCCCUGACCGCUAUCAGUCUUGGCACUGCUCGGCCUCCUCCGUCCAUGUCUGCUGCUGGCCUUGCUGCAAGAAUGUCCCAGGUUCCAGCCCCAGUGCCUCUCAUGAGUCUCAGAACCGCCCCAGCAGCCAACCUUGCCAGCAGGAUUCCUGCAGCCUCUGCGGCAGCCAUGAACCUAGCCAGCGCUAGGACACCUGCCAUCCCAACAGCAGUGAACUUGGCUGACACUCGAACGCCAGCUGCAGCAGCGGCCAUGAACUUGGCCAGCCCCAGAACAGCGGUGGCACCUUCGGCUGUGAACCUGGCUGACCCUCGCACUCCCACAGCCCCAGCUGUGAACCUAGCAGGGGCCAGAACCCCAGCUGCCUUGGCAGCUCUGAGUCUCACAGGCUCUGGCACCCCACCAACUGCUGCAAACUAUCCCUCCAGCUCCAGAACACCACAGGCUCCAGCCUCUGCAAACCUGGUGGGUCCUCGGUCUGCACAUGCCACAGCUCCUGUGAAUAUUGCUGGCUCCAGAACCGCUGCAGCCUUGGCCCCCGCAAGCCUCUCCAGUGCUAGGAUGGCUCCAACAUUGUCUGGUGCAAACCUCACCAGCCCCAGGGUGCCCCUCUCUGCCUACGAGCGUGUCAGUGGCAGAACCUCACCACCGCUCCUUGACCGAGCCAGGUCCAGAACACCACCGUCUGCCCCAAGCCAGUCUAGAAUGACCUCUGAACGGGCUCCCUCCCCUUCCUCUAGGAUGGGCCAGGCUCCUUCACAGUCUCUUCUUCCUCCAGCACAGGAUCAGCCAAGGUCUCCUGUGCCUUCUGCUUUUUCAGACCAGUCCCGUUCUUUGAUUGCCCAGACCACCCCCAUAGCAGGGUCUCAGUCCCUUUCCUCUGGGGCAGUGGCAACGACCACGUCCUCUGCUGGUGACCACAAUGGCAUGCUCUCUGUCCCUGCCCCUGGGGUGCCCCACUCUGAUGUGGGGGAGCCACCUGCCUCUACUGGGGCCCAGCAGCCUUCUGCAUUAGCCGCCCUGCAGCCAGCAAAGGAGCGGCGGAGUUCCUCCUCCUCCUCCUCGUCGUCGAGCUCUUCUUCCUCCUCCUCCUCAUCGUCGUCCUCGUCUUCCUCCUCUGGCUCCAGUUCUAGUGACUCGGAGGGCUCUAGCCUUCCUGUGCAACCUGAGGUGGCACUGAAAAGGGUCCCCAGCCCCACCCCAGCCCCAAAGGAGGCUGUUCGAGAGGGACGUCCUCCGGAGCCAACCCCAGCCAAACGGAAGAGGCGCUCUAGCAGUUCCAGUUCCAGCUCCUCCUCUUCAUCCUCCUCCUCCUCCUCCUCCUCUUCUUCUUCGUCCUCCUCUUCCUCUUCUUCCUCUUCCUCCUCCUCUUCCUCCUCCUCCUCUUCUUCCUCCCCUUCCCCUGCUAAGCCUGGCCCUCAGGCCUUGCCCAAACCUGCAAGCCCCAAGAAGCCACCCCCUGGCGAGCGGAGCCACACCCAGCGCCUUGCAGUCUAAGGAGAGCCCAUGCCUUUGGACAUGCUGUUCCUUCUGCCUGGAAUUUCCUUGUCCGCCUGGUGAACUCCUCGUUCUGCAAGACUCCGCUCAAACAGCACCUUCGAGAAGACUGCCCUGCCCCUUCCCUGCCCUGCCCCAUGUCCCCUUUCCUUGGGUCCCCAGAGCCACGCACAUCCAGCCCUGCUUCCCACACACGGGGCCGUGCGUGCCUGCCUUCACCACUGAGCUCCUUCAAGGGCAGGGACUGUCUUUUAUCUUUGCAUCCCCCGCUGCACCCUGUGCCUGCCCACUGGGCACUCGGUGGAUGGUGUGCGGGCGGAUGGGUGAGUGAGCGGACAAAGGUGGGUCUGAGGCCGGCCCUGUGUGGUGUGAGGUUUGGUGGUCAGGACCUGGGCGGGUGGUCCUGAGUGCUGGCCGGUGUGCUUGAAAGGGCGUGGUGCUAUUGGAUCCUACUGUGUUCCCCAGGUCCCGCAGUCCCCGGAAGCCAAUAGACUCCCUUAGGGACUCUCGGUCCCUCAGCUACUCGCCUGUGGAGCGUCGCCGUCCCUCGCCCCAGCCCUCGCCACGGGACCAGCAGAGCAGCAGCAGUGAGCGGGGUUCCCGGAGAGGCCAGCGUGGGGACAGCCGAUCCCCCAGCCACAAGCGCAGGAGGGAGACACCUAGCCCUCGGCCCAUGAGACACCGCUCCUCCAGGUCUCCAUAAAUUGUCUUUGGGGGAUUCCACCAGACCCCAAUGCUCUGGAGCCACAGGGAGUGUCCCUUCUUCCCCAGCAGAGCCGUGGGAGGGUCCUUGUCUGCUCUCCUUUAAACCUUAGCAGCCCUCGGAUGAAGGGCUUCCUUUCCCUCUCCUUUUUUUUCUUUGUUCCUGUGAAAUGUUAAUCUCUGUGAGUUCUUCCUGGUUCACGUGUUCUGGGGGGUUUGGGGUGGGAGGGAAUGCAGAUGGGAGUUGGGGGAGGGGAGGAUACAGUUCAGGACACCCCAGCCUGGAGUCAGGGCCUGGGAGGCAUGGCCCCAGUUGUAUCCAAAAGUUCCCAGGGGUGACUGUGAUGGUGGUUGGGACUGGAGGUUGUAUAAGGUGUUCUUGGAAGGAAGGGGCAGGAGUUGGAAUUAGUUGGUCCCUCCUGCCCCCCAUGAGGUUGUGUACCCCUCCCCCCAACUUUUCACGUUUCUUAAAGGCAUUUUGGUUUUUUAAAAUCUGUACAGCAAGAGCAACUUUUUCUGUCAAAUAAAAAUGAGAAAUGCAGGAA